rnacentral:rRNA from 1 species
UACGUAGGGUGCGAGCGUUAAUCGGAAUUACUGGGCGUAAAGCGUGCGCAGGCGGUUUUGUAAGCCAGAUGUGAAAAUCCCCGGGCUUAACCUGGGAAUGGCAUUUGGGACUGCAAGGCUUGAGUGCGGCAGAGGAGACUGGAAUUCCUGGUGUAGCAGUGAAAUGCGUAGAUCUCGGGAGGAACACCAAUGGCGAAGGCUGCUUCUUGGCUCAUUGCUGACGCUGAGGCGCGAAAGCGUGGGGAGCAAACAGG